AUUGAACGCUGGCGGCAGGCCUAACACAUGCAAGUCGAGCGGAUGAAGGGAGCUUGCUCCUGGAUUCAGCGGCGGACGGGUGAGUAAUGCCUAGGAAUCUGCCUGGUAGUGGGGGAUAACGUCCGGAAACGGGCGCUAAUACCGCAUACGUCCUGAGGGAGAAAGUGGGAGAUCUUCGGACCUCACGCUAUCAGAUGAGCCUAGGUCGGAUUAGCUAGUUGGUGGGGUAAAGGCCUACCAAGGCGACGAUCCGUAACUGGUCUGAGAGGAUGAUCAGUCACACUGGAACUGAGACACGGUCCAGACUCCUACGGGAGGCAGCAGUGGGGAAUAUUGGACAAUGGGCGAAAGCCUGAUCCAGCCAUGCCGCGUGUGUGAAGAAGGUCUUCGGAUUGUAAAGCACUUUAAGUUGGGAGGAAGGGCAGUAAGUUAAUACCUUGCUGUUUUGACGUUACCAACAGAAUAAGCACCGGCUAACUUCGU
rnacentral:rRNA from 1 species